GCGCUUGUAGCUUAAUUGGAUAAAGCAUCAGAUUGCGGAUCUGACGACUGUGAGUUCAAGUCUCACCGAGCGCACAA
rnacentral:tRNA from 1 species